GGCUGGGAGGGGGGGGCAGUCAGCCCUUAAAUGGGGUCUGGGAGAGCUGUAGCCAGGCUCCACCUUCCAUUCACACACUGGAUUGCCUCCACCUGUGCUCCCACAGCUGAUUCAGUGCUGCCUCAGCUGAUCAAUCAGUGGUUCAGGACGUGACUCAGCAGUUCCCAUUCACCUGGGGAGGCGUAGCCCUGCGAGCACAGCUGAUGGCAAUUCGGCUGUGGGGUGGGGCUGAGCUGGGCUCCUCCCCUCCCCAGACCCCAUUUAAGGGCUGGGAAGUGAAGGGGGCAGCAUCUGAACUUGGGAGUGCUUCCUUGAGGGUCUGAGGUGAGCCCUUUUGUAUGGGAGGGCUGUGAUCUUCUACUUUCUUGGGGGAUCCUGGCUACAUUUUGAGGCUGGCAACCAUCUGUACCUGGAAACUGCUUCUUUUGGGGUGUGGGUGGCAGCAGAAAGCCGUGAUGCUCCCGAGUGCUGUAAGGACUGCAUGGAGAGAUGUGCGGGUCUUCACGGGAACAUCAAGGAACCGAAAGCUGCAUUUCCUGGGAUGCCCUGGAACCCCGCUUUGCUGACUGGUAAUUGUCUGCCCAGCAGGUCUUCAAUGAAGAUAUUGGACAGAACAGGCCUGAAGAGCACUCAGGAUGGCAUACCAGCUGUUUUUAACACGAUGGAGCAGCACUCAUUAGGCCAGGCGGUUCAGCUAGUUCUUCAUCUAGCAAGCAAUGUACCCGUCCAAGUAGCCGGCUGCAGUCUUUCAGAGAAUUUCAAGGGAUAGCACAUCAAAGGGUUUGCCCCACUCAUGGGGUUGGGUCACCUUCGCUUUGAGUUUGCUAGCAUGGCUGACCCUAAUCCCGUAACUGACAUCCUGUAGCUGGACAGAGACCAUUUGCACUCCAUCCAGGCUGUUUGAGACUCAUGGCCAUGCUGAGAGUCACACUGAUUUCAGCGUGUGCAGUCAUUUUGCAUCAACCCAAUUGGCUUUAGCUUUACAAAUAAUUUAUCUCAACCAAAUUGGCUUUAGCUUUGCAGUUAAUGCAUUGCAAAUAAGUUGGCUUUAGCUUUGCCUUGCUUACGGGGUUGGGUUAGCUUUGCUUUGUUUGUUUGUACCGCAGGGCUAACCCAACCCCGUAACCAACGCCCGAGGCCAUCGGAGCCCAUUUGCGCUCCUUCCCGGCCAGUCUGAGACUCGCGCCCCUUUGUGGCCAUUCUGAGAGUUGCGCUGAUUUUGGCAGGUGCAGUCAAUUUAUCUUGCCCAAAUUGGCUUUAGCUUCGCAAUCAAUUGAUCUCAGCCAAAUUGGCUUCAGCUUUGCAAUCAAUUGAUCUCAACCAAAUUGGCUUUAGCUUUGCAAUCAACUGAUCUCAGCCAAAUUGGCUUUAGCUUUGCCUUGCUUACGGGGUUGGGUUAGCUUUGCUUUGUUUGUUUGUACCACAGGGCUAACCCAACCCCGUAACCAACGCCCGAGGCCAUCAGAGCCCAUUUGCGCUCCUUCCCGGGCAGUCUGAGACUCGCGCCCCUUUGUGGCCAUUUUGAGAGUUGUGCUGAUUUUGGCAGGUGC
ensembl:lncRNA